rnacentral:rRNA from 1 species
AACGUAGGAGGCAAGCGUUAUCCGGAGUUACUGGGCGUAAAGCGCGUGUAGGCGGCUCGGUAAGUGGGUCGUGAAAGCGCCCGGCUAAACUGGGCGAGGACGAUCGAGACUGCCAGGCUAGAGGGUGGUAGAGGGACAGGGAAUUCCGGGUGUAGCGGUGAAAUGUGUAGAGAUCCGGAGGAACACCAGUGGCGAAGGCGCUGUCCUGGGCCACCACUGACGCUGAUACGCGAAGGCGUGGGGAGCGAACGGG